ACGUUUCUCCUCCUCUCGCGAAACAAAUCUCUAGAGCCUCACGUCCACCCACCCUAUCUCUGGCCACCGACGCCCAUCCUCUCCCCCGCCGGUGGAACACUCCCACUGCCGCAGCCGAAAACAGUCCCAAUCUCGACACCCAAAGGAGCACACCAAUGUGAGAGGCAGGAUAGAGCCCAUCCCCUCCGCCAUGGUCAACGGCCCGCCGCCCAUGAUGGCACUGACGCCCCCCAAUUCCCAUGCCAACGCGUAAGAGGCGGCGCCAUUGGAUGGAUGGCGCGCGUGCUAUAUGCGUGUGCGCGUGCGCCUGAAUGCUAGGGCGGCGUGCAGGAGCUCCCCCUUCUCCUCCCUUUUCCUCUCUCUCCCCCUGCGCGCGGUGGAGCUUGAGCUGGGCGGGACGCUAAGCGGGAGUUCUUGAGGGCAGAGGAAGAAGACGUUCAGGUAGAAGGCGUGGACAUUGGGGAGUAGCUACAUGGGAGGAGGGCGUGAACGGUGGGAUGGGUGUUGGCUGGCUGUUGAGUGCAUCAAGGCUGCUCUAAUGUUGUUAAUUUUCUUGCUCUGCCCUGAUAUACUACUAUUUGAGCAUAUAUAAAGAGAUCAUAGAGGAAAGCAACAGUAGGCUGCUGCGAUUUUGUUCAUGGUGCUACUGGUUUUGUUAAUGUUGGUAUUUGCUUACUGAUUACAACUGCUGCUACUAGGUACUCGCUUUAUGAUAUGAAUAUUAUUCAGUUAUUCUUUCUUUGUUGUUUCUAUCUGAAUAUUAUUCAGUUAUUCUUUCUUUGUUGUUUCUAUCUGAAUAUUAUUCAGUUAUUCUUUCUUGUUUCUAUCUCAAUAUUAUUCAGAUAUUCUUUCUUUGUCUAAAUCGAUUUAGGAGAAGAGAUAGAGAGAAGAGUUACUGGUGUGGUUCAUUUGGGAAAUUUAGUACUUUGUUUAUACUGCUUUGUUUUAGGGGAUGAAGUAAAUAGAAGAAGAAAUUCCUGGGAUGGAUCUCUAUGAAAGUUGUUACAUGAAGUAUUUUAUCUGGGAACGCCUAAUACCCCUGGUGUUGGGUUUGGUCUUCAUUCAAUCCCCAAAUUAUAUGGUCUGGUAAGAUUUUUCCUUUUGCAAAUUUGAUUGCUUAAUGGUGUGUACGCCAGCAUCCGUCUCCUGUUUUCCUUGCAUGCUCACUGACAACAGCGACAUCGGCGGGAGACGAGGAGUAUCCCGUGUUUGUUCUGACGAGCAUGCAAGCUCUGAAAUGUACAUAUUACCUUGACGAGGACACCCCAUCUCAGCUCUUGGCUUCCAGGGAUACGUGCUGCCAGCGGUAGCACAAUCACACUGGCACAGUGCCCCGCGUCGUCUGCACCGAUGCUGCUGUGUCCUACCUCCAUGCUUCACCGUUGUGAUUCCAUCCGCCAGGAGACAGGAAGAACGAUUGUUGAAGAGGCUUAGGAAGUCUGCUCACAGAAUUUUGCAUGGGCUAGAAUCAGGCAAACACGAUAAGUUGCAUGCAUGUAUGUAAAAUUCCGGAUAAUAGAAACAGGAAGGUGUAUGCUCGACAUGCUUGACCAUGUCAAAGCUCAUGCAUGAUCAAUUAUAUCCUGAGGUUAUUCGUAUUAUCUGGAAGGUGAGCUUCAAAAUUUUGUAAAGUAGUGUUUCCAACAGUUCAGAGCUUCUGCUUUACUAUAUUGUCAGUAUUUAGGUAGAUGGUCUCUCUUUUAAAUCCUGAUACAAGUAAUGCACUUCGGCAAGUUCUAUUUAUCUGUCUCUUUGCUGCCAAUAGCUGAUAUAAUUUCAUCGUGAGCACGCAAGACAAUAGCUCUAUUGUUGUUCAUGGUUGUUGGCCUAUGCCCUAUAGAGAGAAUAAUUAGUAUUUGCCUCUAUGUAUCAGACUGUAGCUGUGCCGUGUACCUAUUGUAUCAUUUUCAUCAUUGACAGAUACGGGUAGCAAAUUAUCAUUGCAAAAUGUUGUGGCUGCAGUGUUUGACUUGUUAAUUCUACAUUCCUUCCUUUCCGGUGAAGUGUUACUUUUGCGUUUGUUAUGUCUUAUUUUUCUCUAUGUUCAUUGCUUCUGUUGACUUCAGAUUCUGCAUAUGGGGAGAAACAUCCAAUUUUUCAAGACACAUCCCGAAUAUUUGUUUCCUGGUUGUCCGUUGUCAACGUUUUCUUUGCAUAGACCUGGUUGAUGUAAGAAAAUUUACAAGUAGUCCGAUACUAAUAUUUUUGUAUGUACAUACAUGUGCACUCACCCCUUCUAUAUAAAUAUGAUUGCUCAAAUAUGAUUCAAGAGCAUCUUUUACUUUA